rnacentral:lncRNA from 1 species
AAGGCUUUGUAAUGGUUUAAUAACCAUAUCCAGGAUGCUGAUUUGAGCCUUUCCCAAUUCUCUGAUAACCUCGCUGGAGGUUAACCAGGCAGGGCUAAAUAUACCUCUUCACCAGUGUAAUGGUUUCUGACUGCAUUUGACGUCAUC